rnacentral:tRNA from 1 species
CCAAACAUGUAGGGUAAUCCCUUCCUUUGCAA